UGGGGAAUAUUGCACAAUGGGCGCAAGCCUGAUGCAGCCAUGCCGCGUGUGUGAAGAAGGCCUUCGGGUUGUAAAGCACUUUCAGCGAGGAGGAAGGUGGUGAACUUAAUACGUUCAUCAAUUGACGUUACUCGCAGAAGAAGCACCGGCUAACUCCGUGCCAGCAGCCGCGGUAAUACGGAGGGUGCAAGCGUUAAUCGGAAUUACUGGGCGUAAAGCGCACGCAGGCGGUUUGUUAAGUCAGAUGUGAAAUCCCCGGGCUCAACCUGGGAACUGCAUUUGAAACUGGCAAGCUAGAGUCUCGUAGAGGGGGGUAGAAUUCCAGGUGUAGCGGUGAAAUGCGUAGAGAUCUGGAGGAAUACCGGUGGCGAAGGCGGCCCCCCUGGACGAAGACUGACGCUCAGGUGCGAAAGCGUGGGGGCAGCAAACAGGAUUAGAUACCCUGGUAGUCACGCUGUAAACGAUGUCGAUUUGGAGGUUGUGCCCCUUGAGGCGUGGCUUCCGGAGCUAACGCG
rnacentral:rRNA from 1 species